AAUUAUUUAUUUAAAGUAUAAAAUAAUUAUUUAUUUUAAAAAUAAUUAUUUAUUUAAAGUAUAAAAUAAUUA
rnacentral:tRNA from 1 species